GGGUCAGUAGGUUGGUCGUGCCACCGGUACGUACUGGUCUCACUGAUUCCUCCUUCCUGAAGAACCGUAAUGCCAUUAAUUUGGUGUUGCGGGGGAACAGGACUGUUACUUUGAAAAAAUCAGAGUGUUUAAAGCAAGCUAACGCUUGAAUACAUUAGCAUGGAAUAAUGAAAUAGGACGAUCGAUCCUAUUUUGUUGGUUUCUAGGAUUGACGUA
rnacentral:rRNA from 1 species